rnacentral:lncRNA from 13 species
CUAGGUUAGAAAAUUUCUUUGCCUCACAAAUCCCUCAGACAUCUACUAUAGCACUGAAAAUCACUAUUGACCAUUAUAUAGAUCUAAAGACUGUGUAUUUCACAGUUAAAAUACACCAAACAUUUAAGAAAUGUUCAUGAUUUUCCUCUGUGACUAUUUCUUCAUUUUGAUGUACUCACUGCACACUUCCCCACUGAGUCACUUUCUUGGAUCAUCAAACAAUCUAUAAUCUGCAUUUUACAGAACAGUUUUCAAAAAAUAAUAAUCCACUCCCAAAUGCAAAUCAAGUGAAUAAUGAUGAAUUGGGUCCACAUUCAAUCAGAAGUUUAGGCAAAUGCUCAAACGUUUUACCACAUCAAGCACUUCUGAAUGUGAAUUGAAAAUUAACUCUGUAUGGGAUUAGGAAGCUGAACUGGGAAGGCAGGUCAUGUGAGCACCUGGAAAUCAAAUAUAACACCUGUAUUAACUGACUCAUUCAUUGUCCCCUUUUAUGGCAAUAUUAAGAUUAGAUUGGGGAUGUAUUGAGUUUGCAUGACCUGGUUUUGGUAGCGGGGGCCUAGAGGGGUGGCUUCUGUGAGGAGCUGCCAGAAGCUUCUACCACGUCUGGCAGAGCCAGUCCCUGGUGGCUCCAAAGAUGGGCAUGCCACGGGUUAGGGCUGGGCCAACUAGAAAUGGUGGUAACGCCUCUUUGAUAACACAUUUAAGAAGAAAGAAAAAGAAAAAGUUAUUGCACAGCUGUAAUUGCGGCCAGAGAAGGGAGGAACGAGAAUGUGUGGGAGGAACAACUCUGCAGACACCAAGGAGGCUGCUCUUUUCCCAGACAUGAUGCGUUUGCUUACAUGUGCACCACAGAGAUUUCACCCAAGUCGACAUGUUUCUAGAACUUACAAACCUGGAACCAAAACACUUGUCUCAAUAAGUGGAGUUGAUUUCCCUUGCGUUGGAAACUUGUUAAAUUGUCCAAUUAGAUUGCCAGAAGGGGCAAUUUAUUAUUAAGGUCUGAGAAGUCAUAUUCUAGCAGCCCCUGGCAGAGGCCUGAAAAGCUUUUGUCAAGCACCACCGUCACACCUACAGACACCUGAACUGUGGCAAACUGCCAGGGAACCAGUGCGGCAUUCCACUCCAUGCUGCAUUGAAUCAUCUCCGAGGUGGGACACUUCUCUUUUCUUCCUCUCUUCCUCUCUGAGCCAGGAAUAGUUCCAGGAGCAGAAGACAGUUUCAGUCUGGAUCUACUGCUGACUUUUUAGCUUGUAUUUUUAUCUCUUCCAUAUGAUGCUGAUCUUGGAGAAGAGCCUAAGUUGAACAUUCCUGCCUUUUUUUCCUGGAUCUUCUGCUGCACAUGAAAAAUCAGGUCUGUGGAGUUAUUGUGGAAACUCUGAAAAGCUCUUUCUCCUUUGCCUUUCUCCCCUGCCUCCUUUGCCUAUGGCUGUAGUGAACAGCAGCACUCACUGCAGAACUCAGGUACAACAUAGUACCAAUAUGCAGUGAUUGUAACAUGCAUCAGUCCCACACGGUGUACAUAAUCACACCCAGUAUUUCAGAACUGUAAUUAAGUCUUGGGAGAAUGCUUCACUCAUUUACAUCACCAGACUGAACUGUGUUAAAAUACUACUAUAUUGGAACAAUGUUUACCAAAACAGUUGACUUAAAAUAGGUCUUCAAGGGAUCUACAAAAUUCUCUUCUAUAAGUUUGUAAUGCUGCAACAAAUCAAAAAUGAGACAAGUGUUUAUUAAAAUAUUAAAAAAUUAGUCUUGUCAUAAGUAUCACUUAAUAAUGUGUAUAUAUUAUAUUACUUGAAUAAUUAAAUUAUGUGUUUAAUAUUUAUUACAUAUCAAAAAUUAUGAUAUCUAGAUACAACUAUAACCUUAGUGAUAUAGUUGAAACACUGUGCAUUUGAUUACUUAUAAAACAGUAGAAUCAUACAAUCAUAUCAACAGACAUAUCAAAAGUACAGAAAUAUUAAUUUUUUCUUUCUUUGAAUAGUUUAGCUAUCACAUUAUGUGAUGGACCAAAAGAUAGUUCCCUGACAAAGUAGAUUAAAAUCAUAAAGCUGUGAGUAACACGAGUAUAUUGCCUUUCAUCUUCAUCUCCCCUCACCCACUUGGACAAAUGGGGCUUGUAGUUACUUGUUUCCUCUUUCGCACGUUUGCCCAAGGCAACAAACCAAAGAAAUUACAGGUAACAGUUUAUCAAAUGCUUGCAGGCAGUUAAUUCCCUCUCUUCUGUCACUCAGUAUCAUUUUAUUGAUGGAACCUUGACCCAGGUGUGCCAUGAGCUUGAAAGUUCAGUAGGUGGGAUGCAGCUGUCACAUGAAAGAUGGAUGAUGUGCAUUUAUGUUUUCAGUUCAUGUUAGAGUAUCUCAGAAUGGACGUGCUAAUAAAAGGUGACAUCUUAGCAGCGAUAUUGUGGGAGCCUUGGGAAAAGGACUCAGAACAGUUCCAGCAUGUGAUAGGAAUGGACAGGAGGAGAGACUUCAUGGUUAAUGUACAGGGGCUGUAAGUUUGCAUUCGGAUUUCCAGAAGUGGAAACAUGCAUGGCACAGGGUUUAUCAAAACCAGCAGGACCGUGUAUAGUGCACAGUUUGCUACACAAGCAAGGUUUGAGAAGAGUAAUGAUGGUUGAAAUACAUUUUUAUUAAAUAUAAAUAAUUUAUAAACACAUUUUAGAUUAUUAUAUUGCUCUGUUAUUGGUGUAAUAAAUCAAUUUUGUUUAAUAGCUACAGUUAUUAUACAUUUAAAAAGGUACUUUCACAUACAUGAUGAAGGAAUUUUUUCUUAACAUAGGAAACAGUCCAUAAUGCUCUGUUGCUGUCUUUUUUAAUGAGGUAGAAAUUGAGGUAAUAAUCUAAAUAUAGAACUGCAUUUUAAAUUUUUAUCAAUAAAAGUGAUAUUUAAAUUAUGAAAAUUCAAAUUAUUUAAGAAUUUUUAAGGUAUCUGAAUUUCAUAUUUACCUUUUUCACUGUAUUCAAGGAAAAAUUGAAUAAACAGUGUAAAAGACAAAUAAAGAACUGGUUUCCAUUGUAAAUGAUGAGAAGAGCUGCUUAUUGCCAUUUUCAUACAAAUUUUCUUCUUGUUAAACUUUGCACCUUUUCUCACAAAACUGCCCAGUUUUGCUGCCCAUGGUUCAAUGUCCACAAACACAGGCCCUGACUACGCACCAUGUGGUCGUGAAGGUGGCACCAGUUUGCCCUUCCCUCUUUGAAACAGAAUUUUUCAGAUGUUUUUAAGACUGUCAAGAGCUGGAACGGCCAGCUUCCAUUCCCAUCCUCUCUAUUUUUCCAGCUACUGGUAUUUUGAUCCUUUCUUUAAAAUCUGCAUCUGAAACCGGCUCUCUCCUCGUGUGCCACAGCUCCCCCAGCACAGCUGACCCCCACUGAGCCAGUGCUCACCCAGUGGCCCCAAACUGCCUCCUGCAGGGCCCCGGAUCUGCUCAGCUUUGCUCCGUGGUGGGCUCAGCACAGGAUCUGCUGUGCCACUGCCUUUAUUUUGGUCAGGAUGGUUGAUGGCAG